rnacentral:rRNA from 1 species
UACGAAGGUGGCUAGCGUUGUUCGGAAUUACUGGGCGUAAAGGGCGCGUAGGCGGCCUUCUAAGUCGAACGUGAAAUCCCCGGGCUCAACCCGGGAACUGCGUCCGAUACUGGGAGGCUUGAAUCCGGGAGAGGGAUGUGGAAUUCCAGGUGUAGCGGUGAAAUGCGUAGAUAUCUGGAGGAACACCGGUGGCGAAGGCGGCAUCCUGGACCGGUAUUGACGCUGAGGCGCGAAAGCCAGGGGAGCAAACGGG